GGCGGCGUAGCUUAGCCUGGUAUAGUACUGCGCUCAUGACGCAGGGGUCCCGAGAGGUAUAUACAAAUAUCCGGGAAUUCAAAUCUCGGCGCCGCCA
rnacentral:tRNA from 1 species